CCAAAAUUAUGAAAAUUGUGUCAUUGUCCAAAUAUUUACGGAACUAACUGAACAUGUAUAUAACAAGUGGAAUGUACAGAUGUACAGUGAAGGCAAAUAAUAUACAAAUAGGACAACCCUUUGAGCACAAGCAGUUAAAAAGACAAUGGAAAUAUUUCUUUAUGAUUGAAAAUGUGAUGAAAACACAACAAUUGUAGACACUCUUGGUACACGGUAAUACAUAAAGACAAACUUAACAUGGACCCACACAUGACAACCUAUCCAAGGAGAUAAAUGGCAGUACUUAGCAAAAUUAACCUAAUGUUGAAGAGAUGGGACAAUUAUGUUAUCCUCCAUUAGUGUCAAAAACCUCUAUGUUUUUCUCUCUCCUGAUCACUGAAGAAAAUAAUUUCAUUGGUCCCCAGGUCUAUCCCAGCCUAUUGAGCUGUAGACAGCUCCAGUGCUCCUCUCCAGCCCCUCACAUACCUUCCCCUCCUCUCCUCAACCCACUUCCCAUCAUUCCUCAUCUCUUUUCCCUACGUCACCCUUCUGACUUUAAGCCACCCAUCUCAGUGGAGUGGGAUGUCUUACUCCCCCUGGUGGUGAUUCAUGACAAUGCUCCAAUCAGAGGGAAAUCAAAUGUUGCCGGAAUUCCCUACUCUGUGUAUGAAAAUAAUAAUAAUCCGCCAUCCAACCAAUCAUCAUUUGUGUGGCUCUACGAUUGACAUACGCGGACCCUACGCAGACGUGUUUGCGAACUCAGGCCUCUUCCAUCGCUUGAAGAAGACUUACUUGGUUGUCAUGGUUGCAAUCAUAUACUUUCCAUCUCCAAGAGAAGACUCCCUCAAUUGGAUUCAGGAAAGGAGAAUAUGGUGGAAGGAACACCAUCCUGAAAUGUGGGUGAUUCUCAAACCACUCUCGCACUAGUGCUGAAUGGUGGAAUUGGACAUUGUCCCAAACAACGACAGAAUUCCGCACCAUUUGCUCUUGAUCGCCCUGUGGAAAGAGGAUUUCAUUCAUCCAUCUCUUCUCCCUCUACUCCUCUAUAUUCUCCUCUUCCUACAUCCUCAGCUCUUCUUUCUCCUUCUC